rnacentral:rRNA from 1 species
GAUGAGCGCUGGCGGCGUGCCUAAUACAUGCAAGUCGAGCGAACAGACGAGGAGCUUGCUCCUCUGACGUUAGCGGCGGACGGGUGAGUAACACGUGGAUAACCUACCUAUAAGACUGGGAUAACUUCGGGAAACCGGAGCUAAUACCGGAUAAUAUAUUGAACCGCAUGGUUCAAUAGUGAAAGACGGUUUUGCUGUCACUUAUAGAUGGAUCCGCGCCGCAUUAGCUAGUUGGUAAGGUAACGGCUUACCAAGGCAACGAUGCGUAGCCGACCUGAGAGGGUGAUCGGCCACACUGGAACUGGGACACGGUCCAGACUCCUACGGGAGGCAGCAGUAGGGAAUCUUCCGCAAUGGGCGAAAGCCUGACGGAGCAACGCCGCGUGAGUGAUGAAGGUCUUCGGAUCGUAAAACUCUGUUAUUGGGGAAGAACAAAUGUGUAAGUAACUAUGCACGUCUUGACGGUACCUAAUCAGAAAGCCACGGCUAACUACGUG